AUGGGGAUGCAAGGAGGGAAGAGUGAGGUGGUGUGCUGGGCGUCGGGGACGAGGGUGCACGCCAGCCAAGACGUGCCUCCCAUCCGGCCCACGCGCGCUUCCCCACCCCCCGGCCCUCCAAAAUCGGAUGGGCGGCUGCUGGCUGGCAGGGGAGGAGAGACAGGCAAGCGGCGGGCUGGAUUAGGGCGUGACGCCCCCCCACCACGCACACAAACACACACAGCCCACUGGAUGUCUGCCGGGUGGGAGCCCGCAGUCUCGGCGCGGUGGAUGUGGCCCUACGCUGCGCACUCGGCCCUGCGCCGAGCACCCUGCAGCCUCCUCUAGCGACACGGCGCUUUGAACUCGGCGGAUUGAUUUUGCUUCCCUUCCCCCUUUUGUGUGUGCGCGCCUUCAAUUGGUUAGGUUUUUAAGAUUUGGGAGGGCCGGUGUGAAACAAUUAAAAUACUCUUAACUGGAGCCCCUACGCGGAGAACUGGAGGUCCCGCCUCCUAGCUCUGCGCUUUCAGGACCCUCUUCCCAAAGGGAAUUUCUUUCAGAGAUUCCAGGGUGGGCUUGUAAAAGAUGCCUCCGCAGAGCAGGUCCCGUCAGGUCUUUUUCCUGUUCCUAGUGCCAGCCGUCGGCCCAGGCGCCCCGCAGACCUCGGCGAGGUAGAUGUUAAAUUCUGAGAGUACCCCUCCCGCAGGCGCCGUGGCGAGAUCACUCUGAAUAUGUAACAUAUUUGUAACUUGCGCCGAGGUGUGAUGUGUGUGCUGGAAUGGGGGGAUGGGGGAAUUCGAAGCCGGAUUGGGAAGGGUUGUGGGGAGGCGCACAGAACUCACAAUGUACUUCGCAAUCUAACAAUCUGAACAUUCAUUUAUUAAAAGCUGCUGCGUGACAUUUACACUGAGCCACCAGUCUCUGGCUCUAAUCCGGGCGAAAACGAUUGUACUGCCGAGUUGUGGCUGCGGCGUACGGGGACGCUGCUGUCCGCUGCCGGGCAGAGCCCAUCAGCAACAACCCGGAAGGCCUCUGCACCCCCUUGGGGGCGGGAGGAAAGUACCGCCAGUCCUGCCUGGGGGCCGAGGGUAACAGGCGCAGAGCCUCUCGCUCCACCCAGGGCCAGCUGUCCAGCUCAGCGAAGCUCUCGUUAUCUGGUGCGUGUCUCUCGCUCUUCCCUCCCCACCAAAGAAGUAAACUUUCUACCUACUCCCCCUAAUCCGAUCGUUUAGAGCUGCUGUUUUCCUUUU
rnacentral:lncRNA from 1 species